GGAGAUUGCGGGCGUCAGUGGCCAUGGCGGAUACAGCGACUACAGCAUCGGCGGCGGCGGCUAGUGCCGCUAGCGCCUCGAGCGAUGCACCUCCUUUCCAACUGGGCAAACCCCGCUUCCAGCAGACGUCCUUCUAUGGCCGCUUCAGGCACUUCUUGGAUAUCAUCGACCCUCGCACACUCUUCGUCACUGAGAGACGUCUCAGAGAGGCUGUGCAGCUGCUGGAGGACUAUAAGCAUGGGACCCUGCGCCCGGGGGUCACCAAUGAACAGCUCUGGAGUGCACAGAAAAUCAAGCAGGCUAUUCUACAUCCGGACACCAAUGAGAAGAUCUUCAUGCCAUUUAGAAUGUCAGGUUAUAUUCCUUUUGGGACGCCAAUUGUAGUCGGUCUUCUCUUGCCCAACCAGACACUGGCAUCCACUGUCUUCUGGCAGUGGCUGAACCAGAGCCACAAUGCCUGUGUCAACUAUGCAAACCGCAAUGCGACCAAGCCUUCACCUGCAUCCAAGUUCAUCCAGGGCUACCUGGGAGCUGUCAUCAGCGCUGUCUCCAUUGCUGUGGGCCUUAAUGUCCUGGUUCAGAAAGCCAACAAGUUCACCCCAGCCACCCGCCUUCUCAUCCAGAGGUUUGUGCCGUUCCCUGCUGUAGAUGCCUGCAGCAACCCCUGACCCCUAGAUCACAAUCACUGAAAAUGCCCUCAAACAUGGCCAAAUGCCCCACAGAACCGCUCCUGGCAGAGAGCGGCUGUUUAGGGCAGGUGAGCAUGCCUGUUGUGGGGCAGGAGAGCCCGGGACACAGAGGGACUGCCCAUGGUUUCCACUGCACUGAGCGUCGGUGGAAGCAGGAGAGAUGCUCGAAGAUGGCGUGUGUGCUCUAAAUACAUUUUAGAACUGUA
rnacentral:sRNA from 1 species